UAUGCAUACACAUUUAAUUCGAUAUCUAAUUUGCAGAUUUUGGUAAGAGAGGUUCUCUCAGAGGUGAAUAAUGUGUUGGAAUUUUUCGUUGCAUCAUUUUCUUCUCCUUCUCUUCUGUUUCUCUGCUUCACUUGACGCCCAAUGGCAGAAUUUAGACAGAAUUGGGAGAAACGAAGAAACUGAGAUAGGGUUUGGGCGCAGAGCUCUGUUGAGUUUCAAAGAGUCUCCUCAUGGAAGUAACGUUACCUUUGAUUGCUCUCGUUCCGGGCCCUGUGUUGCGUGCCUCCUCUCCGAAAAGAAGGAUGAAAAUUAUGGCUGCAGUGAGACUGGGUAUCGUAUUUCCCUGAAAUGUGUGGAAGUCAAAGACACAUCAAAAGUUUCCAAUGAGAAAAUUUCUCAUGAUGGUCGCUCAACACUUGAAAUGUCUUAUGAGCACAAGCUUGUGAACCAUUUGCAGAGUGAUGCAAGCGAUCAUGCUUCAUCAGUUGCACACAGACAUCAACGGGAUGGUUCUAUCUCUGGAACAGUUGGUUCCCAGGAUUACAUCAUUUACAGAAGCUGUAUUCCAUCAGUUAAUGAUGAAAAGUUGUCUGUACUUGGUUUUGAGAACCAAAAUUCGAUGGCUAAUCAGUGUAAUCUAUAGAUUUUCUUUAGCAGUUCUGUUGUUAAGAUGAUAGCUAACAUCAUAUCUAGUCAGAUUUGCAGUACUAAGGAGGGCAUUGUGGUAGGCAUGCUGCUUAUAAGCGGUUCAGUUGUAUACUUCAGAAGGAAGCGAAGUGUUUCAACGGCUGGUUUUGCAUCUGGCAGGGUGCAGUCAAAUUCCAGGUUCUAGUACAUCACUCAUCUUUUGCCACAAUUAUUCUUGUCAAGUAUAUGUAUUAUCCACCAAUUCAAGCAUUCAAAUUAUACAAAGAAUUAGGU